UACGGAGGGGGCUAGCGUUGUCCGGAAUUAUUGGGCGUAAAGAGCUCGUAGGCGGUUUGUCGCGUCUGCUGUGAAAACCUAAGGCUCAACCUUGGGCUUGCAGUGGGUACGGGCAGACUAGAGUGCGGUAGGGGUGACUGGAAUUCCUGGUGUAGCGGUGGAAUGCGCAGAUAUCAGGAGGAACACCGAUGGCGAAGGCAGGUCACUGGGCCGCAACUGACGCUGAGGAGCGAAAGCAUGGGGAGCGAACAGG
rnacentral:rRNA from 1 species